UACCCCCGAUACUACCCAUAGAAAACAGAAUAUGUCAAAAACAGAAUAGUCUGUAGCAAUCUAUAAACUUCGAAUACUUCUGUAACUCCAAAAAUUCUGAAAAAUUAGGAAAACAGAGGCUAUUUGUAUAUUAAUCUUGUGCAAAAAGAAUCAGUAUUUUAUCUCGCUUCUAUGAAUUAUGUAUAUUAUUUUACUGGGCGCAAAAGUUUCUGUUUUUCAGCAAGAUCAAUUCAACUAUCACCGUAAGCCAUCCCAAAGGUCUUACUUGGCACAAACACUAAUUAAAACACCAAAACACAAUUACUACAGAGGUAAUAAUGUGUAUUUUAUUCAAGAACAGUAGCAAAACAAAAAACACAAAAAUAAAAUUGGGUUGCGUCCCAACAAGCGCUAUUUUUAAUGCCCCUAGUUAGGCAUAUUGCAAUAGAUCUAGGUAUUGUCAUCUUUGGUAUGCAAUCCAUAAGUAGCUCUCAUAAUAGAUUCAUAUGGAAACUUAAUCUUCUUUCUUGAAAAGUGUUCCAUGCCCUUCCUUAAUGGAAAUUGAAAUCUAAUGUUUCCUUCUUUCAUAUCAACUAGCUAUGUGACCCGCGCAUUUGCGCGGCUAGAUUUUCUAUAUGUUAUAUUUGUAUUAAGAUUUUGUAAUAUAAUUCACCGCUUUAUCGAUCAUUUGAAAUAUAUUACACUUCAUGUCUCAUCGGUUGGCGACCGAUUGUGUUAAAUCAUGGUUCAUAAUGGUCCCUAAAUUUCCCUCUUCUACUCUCCGUCAAUUUGUGUUAAUUUUCCUAUAAUUUCAUUCAUCGGUAUCUCGAAUAUACAUUUAGUGUUCGUCUUAUCUAUACACCGAUAAUAUUAUUAUAGUUUGUUUUUAUUUGGUACAACGACAUGCCUCUAAAUCUCUAUGUUGCAUGACGAUGGAUAUAUGGUAAUGCAGAAUCAAUAAUAUUGCCUCAAAUUGCGAGAAAUAAACAAUGUUGUCUUACUCCCAGUCGCACGCUUUACAUUAGGCAUUUUUCCUCAUACAAUUCCAUUGCAAAAUUUAGUUUUUCUUUCAAGAUUACUCCUAGACACCUGCCCCUAUUAGAAGAACAAUUCCCUCAAAUAACAUAAUAAUGUCAUAAAAAUAAUACACUGGGUCAAAAUAAAUAAUGAGGAUCAUCACCAUACGCCAACGCUGUUCAUGAUUCUUUCUAAUAGUGACUAAUUUUUUUUGCCAUAGCUUACAUUUCUUUACGAUAAAUAAAAUGCACUGCUGCAUAUUUUAGCUGAUCUAUUGCUAUGUUUCAAAAACAUUCUCUCCCUCAGCCCCUCUAAUCGAAGUUUGUUCUGUUUGUUUGUGCUCGUUUUUUAUAUUUCGUUGAUUGUCUACAAUAAUUGAUGUACCUACGUAAUCACGCUCCUAGGUGAUAUACUUGUUCAUUUUCUGAAGAAAAAAAAUUGUUCACGACUCCAUAUACUUAAAAAAACGUCCACUACUCCACUCCAUGCCCCUAAUCCAUCAGCCCAUUAUAAAAUUCAGUAGUACUAAACAGACACACGCUCUCAGAAAAUAGACACACAAUUUUUUAGCGUAGAUGCAAGUUGCAAGAAAAAAGUUACUGUACAAUAUUUCCUUUUGCUUUCACCCACGCCUCCCAGGUCACAAUAGGCCCAUUGGUCAACUUUCUUCCUGCCUGUACUCUCUAGAAGUCUCCAUAUCUCUUCCGUGAGAAGAUAAACAUAUCCCUUUCUCUGCUCUAUCGUUAUAGUCCCUCAAGCUGGCUGUACCAAAUCGAAUGGCAUGCUCCUACAUCACCAAAGCUGCGAAGGAGAUGCUCUUGGAGGUCAAGUCUGGCGGAAACGGGGAUGCGCGUUCGAGCCGCAGAUCUUGCGUCGCCUACCAGCAAGGCCGCAUUUCACUAUUUCUGCUUUGUAGAGACAGAUCGGUCGCUGGGUAGGCCACCGGAGAUUAUGAGGGGUGUUGCUAGCUGCUAGGUUCUCCGAGAGUGUUCUGCUCUCCUGUUCGUGGCUCUGGGACAGAGAGCUGUGUCGUUGGUUGAACGACCAUCUUCUCCGUAGCAUUCCACGUCUGAGGCGGAGCAGUAAGGACAGAGUCUGUAGGCAAAGGCGGGUUUUGGGCUUCCUCAUUGUUGGUGCCAUCGCCUUACACCCAUUAAUUUGCUACAACUUUGCAUCAUUUCUACUUCGUCGAGAGUGGCUUAUUCUUGACAUGUAAGUUUCCCCAUUCUAGGUAGUUUAAUAGUAUUCUUUUUUGUUGCUAACAUAUAUUAGCAAGUUAUAUUUACCUAUAUGUGUAUUUAGGACAAAGCAAGAAGGAUUCAAUGUAUUAACUGAAAUUUGGUUCAUAUAUCUUAAUCGAUAUGCAAUGGAUUUUUUGCCUAUGCUAUAGGCGAUGCCUGUAAUAUUGUAGUUUUUCCUCGCGAUCAUGGUUUCCUUGAACUAAACCGGACAUAGGCUAGAAUAGUUCUUACCAAGAAUAUAAAAUUCACCAAAAGUGCAUGUCUAAAUGUAUUUAAAAUAAUUAUAAUGUAAUAUGUUUUUCAUAGUGCUAACAUUUGACUUUUGUUAUCCGGUAAGUGUCCUCCUUAUAUUGAUGGAUGUCAAGUAUUCUUACUAUUAUCUUAGUAAACAUAAAUAGUUUGCCUUACUUUCAACAUAAUUAUUGUAUAAUUUUGGUGCUUCCCACCCAAUGAGUUCUGCAAUUUCGAGACCGAUAUAUUAAGAAUUUUUUCGGUCUCCUCGUAAAAUCAAGUGCAGCUUAUAGUAGUUGUACAGUAAUUAAUUUGGCAUCUUUUCAUUGCAAAGUAAACAUAAUCGAGAAGUUGCUGUUCAAAUUAGCAGAAUAUAUGCUUACCGAUGCGUUACAAUUUUUGUAUAUAUAUACCACAACUCUUGUCAAUUUCCUUUGUACCUGCUUUGUGAGAUCACCACAUGACAUAUACCACCAUCUUCUUGUAACAGAUAUAUUGUAGGUAGCUGAAAGUUCGCAAUCCUGAAAAAACAACCUCAAAACUCAAAGUUAGCAAUCUGAAGAAGUUGAGAGACAUAAAUAAAUCAAAUAUGGUCCAUUCUACCUGAUAUGACUCCAUUAUCACUCCAGGUUUUGGAGUCUCGUUUUCCUCGGAAGUGGUCAUAUCAUAUCUUAGAAGUCUGAUACAGUAACUGAUUUGUCUGAUUUUGUGCCUCAUUAUAGUAAUUUCUUGUAAUGUUCUUUUGUAAAACAUGUUUUCUUCUAGUGUUCCUUUCGUAGUUCUAUCUAUCUUGAUCAUUUGUGUUCAGUUUCUUCUGCACACAUAUGGAGUUAGUCAAAUAUAGUAAUAUUGGUUAACAAACAGAGUCACUAUUCAUUAGUUGAUAACUAAUAACUGAUAAAAGAUAUAGUUCCAUACCUGCCAAGAAGUUCAUGGGCUUCGAUUAUAUCUAGACCUAUAUAAUCUUGUGGAAUUGGUAAUCAAUGGUAAAUGUCUUAGGUAUUUUCCUUGUAAAUAACAAAAUAUAUUGUAACAUUACUGGAUUGAACUUCUGCACCAUCAAGGUCACAAUAGGGACAGUUUAGCUGUCGAUUAAAUCCCCAUUCAAAAAUAAGGAAACUUUGUCCAUAACGUAACUCCUAUUUUUAUCACCCCUAAAGAGUUCUUCUUUUAUUAUUGAUUCCACAUGCUUCAUUUGGGUGAUUAAUCCAAUCACAAUAAAUUUGGAGAUUAAUUGCUUCAUAGUUAGAAAGAUUAAUUAGAUAAGAGUCUUAAUUCAAAUUACAGAGUAUAGAGUAUAGACAUACCUGAGCAUUAUAUUUGUGGAAUUGGCAAUCAAUGGUAAAUGUAUUAGGUAUUUUCCCUGUAAAUAACAAAAUAUAUUGUAACAUUACUGGAUUGAACUUCUGCACCAUCAAGGUCACAAUAGAGACAGUUUAGCUGCCGAUUGAAUCCCCAUUCAAAAAAUAAGGAAACUUUGUCCAUAACGUAACUCCUAUUUUUAUCACCCCUAAAGAGUUCUUCUUUUAUUAUUGUUUCCACAUGCUUGAUUUGGGUGAUUAAUCCAAUCACAAUAAAUUUGGGGAUUAAUUGCUUCACAGUUACAAAGAUUAAUUAGAUAAGACUCUUAAUUCAAACUACAGAAUAUAGAGUAUAGAUAUACCUGAGCAUUGUUUAUUUUAUCUACAUGUUUUUGUACUUAAUCCAUACCAAUGAUUAUAAUUAUAAUUUAACCUCUACAGAUAGUAGCAUGGAUUUUUAAAUGUUGAUAGUAGCACGAACUCGGUUGGGCCCUUUCAAAACAAUAAAAUAUAAUUAGGGAUUGUUGUCCAAAGCAAUAGAGAAAUCUGUAAUAUGUAAUGCAUUUUUUUGUCCAUCAAAAGUAUAUUGAGGCUAAUAAGCUCAUCAGCAAUUGUCGUUAAGUCAUUAAGCUUCUUGUAUGCCAUAUUUUUUUGGGUUUAAUAGGAGUUGAAAACAACUGAUAAAGUACCUAUGAAGAUUUUAUGCUGAUAAGUGAAUUUAGUAAGAGUAGUACUUACUAACCUUGAUGAUUCAGGUUAGAGAUAACUCAGAAGGUUGGGCCUGACUUUGUCGGCACUCGAGCUGAACCUGGCAUUGAAGUUCGGCUAAUUUUCUUGUUGUCCAUCGUUGAAUCACUGGAUGUAUCACAUAAUCAGCAGACUUCGAUUUCGCUGGUGGCGCGUUGGUUCAUAGCAGAUUUGUCUGACUUUGAUUUUCCAAAAAAUAUUGAUCCUAAAUCUUGGGCUGCCUUGCGUGUGCUGGACAUGGCCGGUCGAGUGCCUUUAUAUUUGUCGUUGGCUUAGCGGAGUCCGUGUGGAGAUAUUUUUUCCAGAGGCGUCUGGGCUCUUCGCUGAUUAAUCUGUGUGGAGUUUUGCUUGCCUUAUUUGCACGCACCAGUUUGUGGUUGUGUCGGACACAUUGAUGGAGACGUGCUAGAUUUUUCUUUUUGAGGUUUGAAGACAUGCUAGAUGACAGACGUGUCAGGCAACUAUUUGUACCCAAUAAUAGUUAUAUGUAACUUUUGUAUAUUUUUAAAUCUCAGCCGUUGUUAUCAAAUAUUGACGGUGCACAUAAUUUGAUCUAUGUGGAUAAAUGUGACGGCUUCUUUUA